ensembl:snoRNA LOC120096402 small nucleolar RNA SNORA17
CCUCCCCCUAGAGUAAUUGCAGGUGUGACUGCUAUGUCACGUGUGUGUCAGUAGGUGGCAGAGAAGAGAGAGGCUAUGUCUGAUUGCUUAGUAGCCUAACAUC